CUACAAUGGAACUCCAGGUACAAGAGAUGCCAGUAAUGGAGCACCCCACUAGUGCUCAACGGCAGCUGACCGACAAGGACACCAUGAAUAGCCCGAUGGUAAUAAAUGACCACAUUUUCAUCAAUCAACAGAAUGGAAAUCAAAUUGAAAUGUUAGAGGGUUGUGUAUUCGAUGGUGUUGACAUAACCGAAGCCACAGCCUUGGCAGAUGAGGACAUAGAAACAUACCUGAUUGACAAUCCUGCAGCAGAAUUCCCCACACAAGAGAUGCAGGUGAUGAACCACCAAGGCAGUGUGCAAGGGCAGGUUACCAACCACGACACCAUGAACCAUGAAACAAUGUACCCUGAUCAAGCAACAAUAUGAAUAAUGACUACCACAUCAUCAUUGGUAUGUGGGAUGAAGAUCGGACUGUAGAGAAUAACACCACAGCGGAGUUACCAGAAAAAUCUCGGUUGCUGGAAAUAGCUAGGGUUUCAAGUCGAUAAACCUACCUAGUUCCUCCAACCUACAGGCAUACAAGAGUUUUUAGGUUUUCUUCUCG
rnacentral:lncRNA from 1 species